GAAAAAUAUCAUCCUUAAACACUAUCUGGCUAGGUAUCCUAUGAUAUAAUUCCACCAAAACAGAACUUUUGAUUCUCUUUCCCUUUAUUGCAAUUGAUAUGAUUUUUACUUUAUUUCCCCUCUCCGAUCGGUAGGUUUUUAUACUAGUAUAUGACUCAUUAUUUACAGGUCUAAAUUCUUCUGCUGUUCCUACCCUUGAUAGGCAAUAUCCCACCUGGUUUCUUCAGAUGGGAUUAAGAAAAGAUUUACAAGUAAGCAGGACUAGCCACAAGCCACUGUCAAGCAAGAAAGGCUUGAAAUGGGUAGAUUGGAAGUUUCUACGAGGGCUUAUCAGGGCUGGCAGUAAAUAAGGGAAACUUGGGCAAGGGAUUUGCCUCAUGAGAAACUUCUUUAGCAUUGCUGAGAUUGACCCUGCUCAAGCAUCCAACUCCUGAUGUUUUCUAAGAUUUGUGUCUUAUAGAGCCAGGCCCCUAAGGGAAUACAUUAUUUUCAUUCAUCCACAAACCUCCAAAGCCAGUAUUCAAAGAAGGGUCACAUUUUCUGCUGGGAAACUCAUUCCCUUUCAAUCCCCUAUGAUUUUCACUUUUUCCCCCAUUAUACUUCCAAAUACAUCUGACCUGCUGGAUUUUAAAUAUUCAUUUUUCACAUCUCUCUUCCCUAACAGAUUGUAACCUCCUGGAGGGCAAAGGCUGUGUCUGCCUCAUCUGUGCAUUUCCACCACCCAAUCUGUAGUAGAUGUUUCUUGAAUAAAUGGUCUUAUUUCCUUUGUGGGCAGUAUGAUGGAUCCCAGUGCUCUGUAUAUUUGAGAAUCUUCAUGUGGCUUCUCAGCAGCUGCUACUGAGACAUUAGAAAGCCCAUAAUCAGCACCAUGAUGUUGUUAAAAGAACACCAGAAAUAAAUUAACCAGCCAACUCAAGGAUAUAUACACCUAAUGACAGUGACAGAAAUGAGUCGAUAUCAUGUUUACUGACUUCCCCCAGCAAAUGUAACAGAGAGUUGACUUUCCUGGGUUGGUAUCUAGAAAGCAGGUGCAGAAGCCUGGAGAGACUCAUUGAAAGGAAAACAAGCAAGGAUCUUCCAGAUACCAACAAACAUCUUUGGAGGCUGAUGGCAUAGGAAUUACCUUCACUACCUAGCCCCCAGUUCUUCCUUUCUCCACAAACAAGCUUUGCUGAAAAAGUUAAGAAUUUUAGUUAGGAUCUUUGAAUAGAAAUGGAAUUGUAUCUACAAGGGAUUAGAGCUUUUUGGCACUGGCUUCAGGCUUUGGUAAAGUGAUUGUGGGGGUCUGAGACUAAGUGAGAAACUAAUGCAUUAUGAGCAGAAGAUCCUAAACUGUGUUUUUUGUCUGAUAGAAAAAGCUCAGGCUGGCCGGGUGCG
rnacentral:lncRNA from 1 species